rnacentral:rRNA from 1 species
GGGAGGAGCGUGCGUCCUAUUAGCUAGUUGGUGAGGUAACGGCUCACCAAGGCGAAGAUGGGUAGCUGGUCUGAGAGGAUGGUCAGCCACACUGGGACUGAGACACUGCCCAGACUCCUACGGGAGGCUGCAGUCGAGAAUCUUUUGCAAUGGGCGAAAGCCUGACAAUGCGACGCCGCGUGAGCGAUGAAGGCCUUCGGGUUGUAAAGCUCUGUUUGCUGGGAAGAAAUGCUCUGGUCUAAUAAACUAGGGAGCUGACGGUACCGGCAGAGGAAGUCACGGCUAACUCCGUGCCAGCAGCCGCGGUAAUACGGAGGUGGCAAGCGUUGUUCGGAUUUAUUGGGUGUAAAGGGCAUGUAGGUGGUUAUGUAAGUUGUAUGUGAAAUACUCUGGCUCAACCAGAGAACUGCAUUCAAAACUGCAUAACUUGAGUUCGGGCGAGGAAAGCGGAAUUCCCGGUGUAAGAGUGAAAUCUGUAGAUAUCGGGAGGAACACCAGUGGCGAAGGCGGCUUUCUGGACCGAUACUGACACUGAAAUGCGAAAGCUAGGGGAGCAAACAGGAUUAGAUACCCUGGUAGUCCUAGCCGUAAACGAUGGGCACUAGGUGUCGGGGCGCAAGCCUCGGUGCCGCAGUUAACACAUUAA